GUAAAAAAACAGCAUUUGUAAUAUUAUUCCCAUUUGAAGAUAUGGGUGUAAAUACCGGCUAAAAUUCACAAAGCUUCAACAGCACACAUGCACACACACACACACACACACACACACACACACACAAGGUUUUCCUUUUCAGUAUAUGUGGCUGUCCGCCUGUAUGUGUUUGUAUUUAUAUACCCAGACCUGAGGGAUGAACAACAAAGUUGGUCCCUCUGAGAUUUGAAAUCAGAAUGGUAAAGUGGCGCCAAACUAAAUAAGUCAAGACACAGUGCAUGACAUACAGGAUGACAUUACUGUGUCCUUCCUUUAUUGUGAUAAUUCAAGGGAGAACUAGAUACUACUACUACUACUGUUACAGUCACCACAACACACCCACCCAGAGACUCCUUUGUUGGUUCAUGUUAAUAAAGUCAACACAGACGCAUCUAAAUGAAAAACUACAAACUCUUUCAACAGAUGCUCAAGUUUCCAACCAUUUCAAAGACAGGGAGCACUAAGCUGUAAGAAACACCA
rnacentral:lncRNA from 1 species